AUACUCAUACGCUAUAUUAUUGUGGACCUGCAACCAUUAUUAUCAUCAUUAAAGAAAGCAAAUUUAUCCGAAGCGCUGCCUUCCAUUUCACACAUCAUACAUCCAAAAAUAGUCAAGGACAAAGGACUUCAUUAUAAAAGGUGGAAAGCUUUAUCAGUCGUUCACACACUUGGAACCCGGUUGGUUACAAGAUUUAUGUAAAACCCUUUCCCACGGUAUCCAAAAUAGCUGACGUAAUCCAAAGGCAUUUUUUUCUACAUUCUAGAGAAAGCAAGGGUAUAUAAAGGUAGGUUGCUGGCAGAGUAAACAACAGACAUCAUUAGAGCAUCUAGACAGCAACUUCUAAAGCAAAAUCAGCAGCAACAACAUGAAGGUCUUCCUGUUGGUCGUACUAGUUGCUCUUGCAACUGCUGACGCAUCUCGGCUGAAAAACUGUACCCCAAAUCCUCCCGUCAACGAGAGGGUGGACAGCGUCACCUCCACCACCAUCAACAUAUCCUUUGAGGAUCCUGACGACAUGUCCUGCCCCAUCAUAGCCUACAGGACUCACUGGGAGACUGCAUUGUCCUCCAGCAUCACUCCAAAGGACGCAGAAGGAGAAGGAAACCAUCUUUACCACGUGGAGAUCACAGACCUCCUCCCCCACACCAGGUACAGGAUCUACAUCACUUCCAUAUCCUCCGACAUGGUCCAGUCUUCUCCUAAGAUCCUUUACGCAACUACGGAUUGAACGGCUCCUCUGGGAUUUAUAUAAAUGACUCUCCUUCCUCCACUUAACUACUUUUAACUGUUUCCUAGGAACUAUGUUUGAAUAAAUUUUACUUACGCA